GGGUUGGAGCUAAUGAGGAGGCUAGUCAUCGUGUUGGACCUGAUGAAAGACAACCUCUUCUUCCCACCUAAAAUUACUUUUUCAGUGGUUUCUUUGUUGUUUCUAGCAUGACCACUUGAUGGUUUUUUACAGAAGAUAAUGCAAUGUUUACUGGGAAAAAUAAAGUAGAAUUGCAAGUCAUCAACCUGAGAAAAUACAGUUAGUGUCAUUUUUCUGUUUGACACAGUGAUUCUUCCUUGGAAGAGUCUGAAAGUACAGUGUUGGAGAAUUCAACCUCUCUUAUGGAGGAUAUAUAGAGGGAAAAAUUGCCUACCAUCUUAUUGUUAUCCCAAAUACUAUGUUACGUGAUAAUGUAUAUGGAUUAUUUUAGGUCAGUGUGAGUUGAUUCAUUUGCAAUGAAAUUCAGUCUGCGUUUGGCACAUGGGAGUGCCAUAGGUUUUGCCAUAUCCUUUUAAUCUGUAUCUUAGUUAUUACAUUGGUGGUGGUGGUAUAUUUUUAUCACUACCCAAGUAAAAAGUAAAGAGCAUUCAUACAUGAAGUGUUGUUUUAUGAUACAUCUAGGUACACGCUUGUAUUACAUUGUAUUAUUUCCACAUCUGGAUUCGCCGUAGUGGACGUGCCUUGUGCCAAAAUGGAAUUUAUCGUGGUGGAUUUGGAUUUGAAA